CCUACGGGAGGCAGCAGUGGGGAAUAUUGGGCAAUGGGCGCAAGCCUGACCCAGCAACGCCGCGUGAAUGAAGAAGGCUUUCGGGUUGUAAACUUCUUUUCUCAGGGACGAAGCAAGUGACGGUACCUGAGGAAUAAGCCACGGUUAACUACGUGCCAGCAGCCGCGGUAAUACGUAGGUGGCAAGCGUUAUCCGGAUUUACUGGGUGUAAAGGGCGUGUAGGCGGGAAAGCAAGUCAGAUGUGAAAACCAUGGGCUUAACCUGUGGCCUGCAUUUGAAACUGUUUUGCUUGAGUACUGGAGAGGCAGAUGGAAUGCCAAGUGUAGCGGUGAAAUGCGUAGAGAUUAGGAGGAACACCGAUGGCGAAGGCAGUCUGCUGGACAGCAACUGACGCUGAGGCGCGAAAGCGUGGGGAGCAAACAGGAUUAGAUACCCCAGUAGUC
rnacentral:rRNA from 1 species